GUUGUUUUAUUGUGUGGCUAGCAUGCAGCGCCCUUGUCGCCGUGGCCCGGGUUCGAUUCCCGGUCACCG